CCUACGGGUGGCAGCAGUCGAGAAUCAUUCACAAUGGGGGAAACCCUGAUGCUGCGACGCCGCGUGCAGGAAUGAAGGUCUUCGGAUUGUAAACUCCUGUCAUGUGGGAGCAAAUUAAAAAGAUAGUACCACAAUAGGAAGAGACGGCUAAAUCUGUGCCAGCAGCCGCGUUAAUACAGAGGUCUUAAGCGUUGUUCGGAAGCCGUGGGCGUAAAGCGUUCGUAGGCUGUUUCGUAAGUCGUAUGUGAAAGGGGCGGGCUCAACCCGCGAACUGCACAUGAUACUGUGAGUCUAGAGAUUAGGAGGGGGAGGCGGAAUGCAUGGUGUAGCGGUGAAAUGCGGAGAUAUCGAGAGGAACACUCGUGGCGAAGGCGGGUUACUGGACAUUAACUGACGCUGAGGCACGAAGGCCAGGGGAGCGAAAGGGAUUAGAUACCCCAGUAGUC
rnacentral:rRNA from 1 species